rnacentral:rRNA from 1 species
UUAUCCUACGGGAGGCAGCAGUAGGGAAUAUUGCUCAAUGGGGGAAACCCUGAAGCAGCAACGCCGCGUGGAGGAUGAAGGUUUUCGGAUUGUAAACUCCUUUUGUUAGAGAGGAUAAUGACGGUAUCUAACGAAUAAGCACCGGCUAACUCCGUGCCAGCAGCCGCGGUAUUACGGCGGGUGCAAGCGUUACUCGGAAUCACUGGGCGUAAAGAGCGCGUAGGCGGGAUAGCAAGUCAGAUGUGGAAUCCUAUGGCUUA